GUUUCUCUCUCUCUUGUGUUUUAACCAGCCUUCAAGACUGGUCCCUUUUUGACAGUGUCUCUCUUCAUCUAAUUUUUCUCUCAAAGGAAAGGAUGGGACAGGAACGGUAAAAUUUUUGAGAUAAUUACGGCCACCGAAAAUAGAAAAAUAUGUGCCGGAAGAGUUGUGGAAGGACUGACUGAUAUUCUCAAAGUCCACUACUUGACCUGCAUUCUAUAACUAAAUUAAUUACAGUGGUUUUUUAUGGAUGCUUCUUCUUCGGUCCACGUACUACGGUACUAGUAACUGAAAGAACCAUAGAAUACUGGCGUCUUGAAGCAGAAGAAAGUGUUAUUGCGAUAUACGAAGAGGUAGCUCUAAGUGGAAGCUCUACUGCUUUUAUG